rnacentral:rRNA from 1 species
UACGAAGGGGGCUAGCGUUGUUCGGAAUUACUGGGCGUAAAGGGCGCGUAGGCGGUACUUCAAGUCAGUCGUGAAAGCCCCGGGCUCAACCUGGGAACCGCGCUUGAGACUGGAGAACUAGAGUUCGGGAGAGGAUGGUGGAAUUCCCAGUGUAGAGGUGAAAUUCGUAGAUAUUGGGAAGAACACCGAUGGCGAAGGCAGCCAUCUGGACCGACACUGACGCUGAGGCGCGAAAGCGUGGGGAGCAAACAGG